AAAACAGAUUAAUUUCUAAUCUGUUUUUAUAUGUUACAUAAAACAGAAGAUUAAUGUUUCAGUUUAAAACUUUUGCUUUUGAAUGGAUUGUUAACUAAUAGUAUCUGAUGACAAUUUUAUAAAGACACAACAUAUAAAUAAGUUUAAAAAUCAGAUACUUCAUUGGUUUAUUCCUUGCAAAAGACUAUAAGUAUUUUUCAAAUAUGAUAAAACUUAUUAACUUAUUAUCAUCUUUUAUUAUUUUUGGAUUGUAUACUUCUUUAUCUGUGGAUUAAUAUUUAAAUCACAAUACAAGCAUGCCUAAUGUUGACUUGUUGUUUAGAUCCGGCUAGACAUGGAGAGUUUUUGAGAUUCCAUAAGUAUAAAUCAUGUAUUUCAUAUAUAACCACAACCAAUAUAACGUAAUUAAUCUAUAAACAAAGUGAAUAACCCAUUCUUAAUUUUGAUCUACCCAGCCUAUCACUGGUAAGUUUGUGUAGGAUAACUUGAAUAUUAAAUAUAAGCAUGUUUAUCUUGGGCUACCUUAUAUUAUUUUUGAUCUUCGCUCCUUUUAUCAGUUGCUAUGAUUAGUUAUUUUAAAAGCUAGUACUUUUUAAUCUGUAAAUAGAUUUAAUACCAAUUUCAAAGUCGUCAAUUGCAAUAUUUAUUUUUUAUUACUUUUUUUUACCUCUAGCAACAUCUUCAUCUGCAAUGAAUGCUCUAGUUCCAUCCUCAACUGCAUUGGGUGGUAAGUUUAAAAAUAUUUUUAUUGCAUCCUUUAAAAAACCUGUUCAUAUAUGUAUGUAUUUCAGAGCAAUUGCAAUAUUUAUUUUUUAUUAUACUUUUUAUAACUUAGUUCCAUCUAUAUCUGCUAUAAUUGGUAUGUUUACAAACUUUUACUUUUCAAUAUGUUAAUACAUUUCUUGGCAUUUCUUCACAAUAUUUAUUUUUAUUUCAACUUUGUUAACUUUUAGUUACAUCUUCGGCUGCUACAAGUGGAUUUAUGGGUCCAAAAAAAAGUGGAGUUAUGUUUUCGGAUGCACUGAAAAAAGUGUAAUGUGGUUGGAGAAGACUGGAGGGUGGGGGAGAGGGCGUUGUGCGGUGCACACAUCCUAGCCAUAAAGUCAAUAUAUACAACACUUUUAAAUGCUGUAAAGUAAGAAAAUACAAUUUAAACUUUUUAACACAUAAUAUAAUCAGUGUUUUUUAGGUUAUAGUAUUUAUAAGAAUGGAAAUUCAAAAACUUUUUUAUCCUAAAUCCUUUAAAAAUAUAUAUAAAUCCAUAAAUCCUUUAAAAAUAAACAAAGACAUCGACCCUUUAUUCUAAAAUAGACCACUAAUAUUUUGAAAUGGAAUGCAAAUUGGAACAACUUUUUGUGUAUAAAGGUGACAUAUUU
rnacentral:misc_RNA from 1 species